UACCUGCAGCUCAAGUGGUGAUCAUUAUUAUUGGGCCUAAAACGUCCGUAGCCGGUUUAGUAAAUGCCUGGGUAAAUCGUGUAGCUUAACUAUACGACUUCCGGGUAGACUGCUAAACUUGAGACCGGGAGAGGCUAGAGGUACUCCUGGGGUAGAGGUGAAAUUCUGUAAUCCUAGGGGGACCACCAGUGGCGAAGGCGUCUAGCUAGAACGGGUCUGACGGUGAGGGACGAAGCCCUGGGGCACAAACCGGAUUAGAUACCCGGGUAGUCCAGGGUGUAAACGCUGCUUGCUUGAUGUUAGUUGGGCUCCGAGCCCAACUAGUGUCGGAGAGAAGUUGUUAAGCAAGCUGCCUGGGAAGUACGGUCGCAAGGCUGAAACUUAAAGGAAUUGGCGGGGGAGCACAGCAACAGGUGGAGCGUGCGGUUU
rnacentral:rRNA from 1 species